AGUUGUAAUUGCACGGAGAAAUAAAGAUUAAUUCAAUCAUAAAUAUACGAGUGGAAAAUAUUUUGUAUCAGUGGCCUAUGGACUUGACGCAGAUGUUUGCAGGUUGACCGUAGCUCCAGAUGGCAUUGACUUUUCAUAAUCGGAGGAUCUUGGUGCAUGCUUGACGACCGUAUGUUCUUCAACAGUGUUGUUGAAAAGCUACUGGCGACUAUGAUACUAGCACUAGAUGGCAUCUCAUGUCUAUAAAUACCUCAUCCAUGAACACUCUCUGAUGGUCAAACGUUUUUUCGGCGGUGUUAGAGAAAUGUACAGGACAACUUUUUUGAGAUGAUGCUAACUUUUCUUUUAAUGGUGAGGGCUGGUGUGGGUAAGUGUGCUAGCUGUGCAUAUGUAAUUAUAGCAUAUAUGAAUGCCAAAAUUCCAUAGCGCAUUUUCCAGUCUGCAUCAUCACAUAAAAAUUCACCUGUAAUACAGUACAAACUCGCUAAUCCAAACUAACAGGAAUCAAUAUCCUAUAAGAAUAUUGAAUAGAAUUGUCGUAGUAGGUAUAGUUGAGUUUAAUUUUAGGAAACAGAAGAAAGUCAAACUGAGAUGUAACAACAUUCUUGUACCGAUAUAAGUUAUGAAAUUUUUAUAAAUCUUCAAUAAUAUUUUAUUAUACCAAUUGAAAACUCAUUGAUGUAUCUGGUAAAUGUAAGUUUCAAUUUACAUCUCAAAAAAAUUAGAAAUAUUUAUAUUGUGUUUUUGUAAUCGACUUCAUUUAAUUGUUGUAAAUAGUAAUAAGGCUUGUGUACAAAAACUACUGAACUGUUCAAGAAGUAUAUGUGAUAAAAUUCAAAUAAGAGAUGAUUCAGUGUUGUAAUAGGGAGGUUUGGAAUCAGCGAGAGUAUACUGAAACAAUCAAAAUAAUAAUUAAUAAUAUCUAUGAAGUAGAAUAGUUAUUUCUACAUGCCUACACACAUUAUGAUAGUAGGUAUAUCAUUCCAGAGGAUCAUAAAUUGGAAAGUUAUAUAUCGUUCAUUGAUACAAAGUCUACUAUUAAGGAGUAGUUUGUAAUCAAAGUGAUGAAAAAUCUAUGAAAUACAUAAUAUUUUAUAUAAUAUACAAGAUAAGUAGUACAGUAUAUGAAUGAGCUAAAUUAUAUGACCAAGUCUUGGUCUUUGUGCGUUUCUUGAAAAUAAUUAUUUGAAUUUCACUAGUAAUAAAAUCUUCUAAAUAAGGUAUAAUAUAACAAUUAUUAUUUCCAGAUGAAAGAGUGAGCUAAUAAGUAAUAUUUAUUCAAUCAGAUAGGUUCUAAAAAGCAUUGUCCUAAAUAAAUUAUUAUGCAAUAGUUAUUGAUGUUCAGUCACUAUACUUAUAUGUGGGUAGAGCACCUUUAUGAGAAAAUCGUUGAUAAACUCAUACUAUCUCAAUUGACAUUUUAAUUUAAUUUAAAAUUGUAAAAAAUAACU